GUAGGUGGUUUCGCAAGUCAGGUGUGAAAGCCCGAGGCUAAACCUCGGAAGUGCACUUGAUACUACGGAGCUGGAGUCUUGGAGAGGCGAGUGGAAUUCCGAGUGUAGAGGUGAAAUUCGUAGAUAUUCGGAAGAACACCAGUGGCGAAGGCGACUCGCUGGACAAGUAUUGACGCUGAGGUGCGAAAGCGUGGGGAGCAA
rnacentral:rRNA from 1 species